rnacentral:tRNA from 1 species
GCCUUUAUGGCGUAGUGGUAGCGCGUCGCACUUGUACCGCUUUAGUUGGUCAUGCGAAGGUCUCUCGUUCAACCCGGGAUGGAGGCA